UCACUUUGUAGACCAGGCUGGCCUCGAACUCAGAAAUCCGCCUGCCUCUGCCUCCUGAGUGCUGGGAUUAAAGGCGUGCGUCACCACCGCCCGGCUGGAGGCAUUUUCUUAAUUAAGGUUCCUAUCAAACGCCUAGCCUGUGUCAGGUUGAUGUGAAAACUAGCAGCAUAGUGAAUUACUAAUAACCCAAAGUGGAAACAACCCAGUGUGCACUCACUGACUGAGCAGAGCAGUCUUCCCCGACUUGGGUACCACUUAGUUGGUUUCUAGUCUGUAACUGUGGCAACCAAGUAUGCAGGGAACAUCUUCAUAGAUUCUUCCAGGAGAAAGGGCUUAAGCAUAUGGACUGGUCCAGGUCUGGUGGCCUGUGCUGGUCACCCAGAACACAGGUGGCUGAGGUUGAUUGUGAGUUCAAGGCCAGCCUAGGCCCUAUAGAGAGACGAAAAGCAUACUAAAAAUGAAUAAGUGAACAGACAUUAACAAAGUACCCCCUGAAAAGGCUGGUCCACUGUUAACUUCCAUCAAUGACGGAUGACCUGCUCAAAGCUCACCCACAAUGCAAUGCGGCACCUGUAGUUUUUGUCACUGUCCUUGUGACAGAAAUGAAUAACUGCUGGGUUUGUUUUUGUUUGUUUGUUUGUUUGUUUGUUUUGUUCCUGGAACUCACUUUGUAGACCAGGCUGGCCUCGAACUCAGAAAUCUGCCUGCCUCUGCCUCCCAAGUACUGGGAUUAAAGGCGUGCACCACCACUCCCAGCAAACUGCUGGGUUUUUGUUUGCAAUUAUUUCUUGAAUAUGAGCCGAAUUGAGCACCUAGAUGCUCACCAUGGAUACCAUAGACAAGGUUCUGUCCUGGACAGUGGCCAUCUCUUCUACCAAGAGCAAAGAAUGGCCAGUCACCCACUUGCAACAGCAUUAGCCUCAGGACCAUCCCAGAGCCCAGUCAGCACGGGUGAUACACAGCUGAAAUAGACAUACGGCUUUCAGCGUCUCAACAUGCUGCUUCAAGUACUUGGCCAUGUGCUCACAACAGCACUAAUGUGGUAAAACAUAAAGCAGUGGUGUAUGUGUGUGUGUAACAUGCAUGUGCACGCUUGUGUGUGACUAUGGGUGCACAGCAUGCCAUAACAUGCACGUGGAGGCCAUAGGACAACCUUGAAGGCAAGCCUCACCUUUCACCUUAUUUGAGACGUGAUCUCUUCCACUGUUGGAUUCACUGUUGGCCUUCAAGCUUCCAGGGAUUCCCCUGCCUCCUCCUGCCUCAUCACAGGUGCACUGCGACUGAAGAUGUGCACUACCAUGUCCGUCUUUGUGUGAAUUAAAUGCAGGUUCUCACGACUAUGCAGCAAGUGCUUUACCCACUGAGCCACCUCCCUAGCCUGACUGAUAUUCUUUAAAGACAGCGCCCCCCCCCCAACCAGGUUCUCUGAAAGAGCAGUAAGCUCUUCUCUCUUAACUGCUGCUCUGUCUCUACCCCUACAACAUGUCUUUUCUGGGUAUUCAUUGUGCCAUGAUCAAACGUAGUGACUAUGCUAUACAGAAGAUCUCCCGAGCCCAUUCCUGGGAACAAUCUAAGAAAAGGAACAGCAUAUCUUAAGAUGACAAUGAAAUUUUCCCGGUUGCUAGUAUAUUACUCAUACUGGGUAUUUUGGUUUGGAAUGAAGUGCCCCUCCCAGGUUUAUGUGUUAAAGCCUCAGCCGUUGUCACUGUUAAGGAAGGUUUUGGAAACUUAGGGGAUGGGCAGGUCACUAGACGAGGGGGGUGGGGUCCUUGCAAGGGUAUCUCCUCCCUUGCUCCUUUCUUGGUUGCCAUAGUGUGAACUGUCAUUCUUUGCCAAGAUUUCCCCCUGCUGUUGUGGACUGAUGUCUCUGGAAUCACGAACCAUAAUGCAUUCCUCUUUUUAAAAAUCCCAGCACUUGGGAGGCAGAAGUAGAAGGAAAAUAAAUAAAUAAAUAAAGGCAGGCUCUCACUAUUAUUGACUUUCUGAUUCCCCUGCAUCAGCCUCCGAAGUGAGGGAUUACAGAUGUGCCUCUUACAGAUGUGCCUGGUCUCUUUAAAACCAGCGGUGCUAUUACCCGCCCAUGGAUGAGACACACUUCAGACUCCGUCACCAUUGAGAUAAAUGCAGAAAACCGUGAAUGCCUGUGGGGAAAGGGCUCGCUUUACGAGCCCCGCAGCUUUAGCUGGAGUCGAAGCAGGCUUAGCAGAGCUGCCAUCUACAUCUCCCAGCCUAAUCACCCUAAGAGUCUGGGAUUUUCAUUUUCACCAGUUGACUGGACUGGUGUAGCUAAUUGGGGCACUGGGCCACACCCAUUUUGAUCGCCUCUGCAAGGAAAUGUACCCUAGGGGCCGAGGGUCUUUAUUUUUCAUUCUGAGGAUGGGCCAUGAAUAAAGGACUCGAGGGAAGGGAAAGGGAGCACGGAACACACUUCUAUUAUGUCCUUAGCUCUGCGUCUCAGAAUAAUGGCGGCCCUGCAUGAUGUCUGCGGCAACCGCUGACAUCCGUGCCAUACUGAAACAAGUGGACAAUGAAUUUACUCUCGGAUGAGUGGCAUGCUCCUCCACUGAGUUGUUAGCAUAGCCGUUGUUUUCCCAUAGCCCUUUGUAAGUAGCAGGCAAGCUUUACCUCAGGGAAGCAGUGUGGAGCUGAGUUGGGGAGUUGCUAGUGCAUACAGCCUGGGGAGUGUUUUCUGGAAGCCUGGAGCCUGGGGAGGGUUUCCAGAUAAGUAGACCCCGAGGCAAUGCAGACUGGAAUGUCUUCUCUGACAGUCCCGUGGCAGAGGCCAGGAUGACAGGGCUGGGAUUGCAGGGGUGGGGAUGGCAGAGGCUGAGAUGGCAGGGAUGGGGAUAGGAGGACUCCUGUGCUGAGGCUCUGUGAUGUCUCUGAGAAGGGCGGGACCUCAGCCUGGGUCAUAGCUUCAGCUAAGAUUCCAGGCCUAAAUUUGCUAAGGAGGGGACCACAAAUGUCCUGUCCUGAAGGGACAUGAAGUUUGAACCCUGCUCUAUCAGCGUAGGCUUUGGCCUCAGAAGGAUGGUAGCUCUGUCCUGUUCUCCAGCUGUUUAAUUCUAGAGUCCCAUGGAUCCUCAGGGAAGGGUGAACCUGUCUCAUUCACCCUCCCACUACCUCCCGCCAGCCUAGAGGACAAAGGCUCGCCUGAGACAACUGAAAUUAAAGAAAAAGGAAAUGACAAGUCUCAAGCACUUGAGUUUUGAAAGUAAAUCUCAUAAAGGCACAGUUAGAAGAAAUUCCCGGUAACUCUCAGAAUGAGGUCAUUCUACACGCCUGUGUUUCAGAAUGCUGUUUUGAGUGGGAAGGAACGGCAUAAUGUCACAGUUUGGUUCUGGAGACAUUGUUGGUUAUUCUCCCAAGGACAAAAAAGCCCGUCCUGCAUCACUGCAGAAACACAAUUGGAAACCACUCCUUAGAGACGGUGGGAGAGGGGUUGACAAGAUGGCUCAGCGGGGAUAAGCAGUUGCCUCAAAGCCUAAUGAUUCCAUUUCAACCCCCAGAACAUACAUGGUGGAAGGAAAGAGCUCAUUCCUAAGCUGUCCCAUACUCUACAUAAGUGUUGUAGAACACAGAAACACUCUGUGUGUGUGUGUGUGUGUGUGUGUGUGUGUGUACAGUGUCUUGGCAGGGUCCACCCUUUUAUAAUCUACCCUGUCCCACAGGGUAUGCCUUUGACAUACUAAUGAGCAAGGAAAAUGACCUGUAACUCUGGUAUGACCCUGCUUGCACCUGGCUAUGCAGGAGCAAGUGGAUGCUGGUAAGUGAGCAAUGCAUUCCAACUCAGAAGAUGCCAAAAACCUCUGAGCCAUGCGUGAGUCUUCUCUCAACAUGAAGGAGCAUGAUGACUUACAUACUGCAGUGGCAGCUGCUAGCCCAGCCCAGCCCAGCCCAGCCCAGCCCAGCCCAGCCCAGCCCAGCCCAGAAACUUCAGUAUUGUCAGCAAGCUCUGCCUGUGCCUGCUGCAUCUGCUUGCGUCUGGGCUUGCCUGCCCUUGGUGAAGGGCAAGGAAUGGGACCUGCUCUCCUGGAAAAGACAGCUGGCUUGGGAAUGCUGGUCUCAGCACUCCAGUAGGGGUUGGGCCACCAACACAGGCAGACUUGGAAUUUUCCAUCAAAUGAGUCAUAAGGCACAUGAUUUAUAACUUUGAGGUACAAAAGGGUUUUGACCUCAGGCUUUAAAUUUUUUUAUAGCAACAUUUAAACAUUGGUUACCAUCUGUAUAUAAGAAAAAGUGUGUGUGUGUGUGUGUGUGUGUGUGUGUGUGUGUGUGUGUGUGUGUGUGUGUGUAUCUUUGGCAGUAGAACUUACUUACAGGGCAGGUAGACCAGAUAGCCCAUGCCUACUGCAGUGGUUCAGGGGAAUUAGUAUCAAGGCAGCGAAACAGAGAUCAGGCAAUACAACAGAACCUGAGACAGACAGAAGAUGAUAAGUAAGGUAUGCCAGGCAGACCACAGCAAACACUUCAGGAUUGUCAGACUUGUGGGGUCAGGGGUGGGGCUCCGGAUUGCUUUGGAGUCUGAACUGGUGACAGAAGAAAUGCCGGAAGAGGACAUUCGAAAAUAAGGAGUUCCAUGUAGAAAUGGACUGGAGAGACGGCUCCACCGUUAAGAGCACUUCCUGCUGCCAACACAAGAAACACAACUAUUAUCUCAAAGGAUACCAGAAAUAGUUAAUUUUGGAGCCAAAUCUGAGUGACCAUGGCCCGGGAAUACAGAUUUAGGUGACCUCAAAUUGUGUUCCAAUGUGGAAGGAGUUUCAUGAAGUGUUUAUGGUAACAAAACAAAGUCCUAAAUCAAGAUGCUUUUAAAUACAUAGGUGGAUACAUUAGGCAGUUAGGUUAUAGCAAUACAGGGAGCACUCUAGGCCUGAGGCUCUAGCUGAGAACAUUCUGAGUCCUUUGAUUGGUGGAACUAGGGUUUGCUAAUACAUCCCAAAAGGUUUUUAUCGGUUAGUCACAAGGUCUUGGACCUGACUUUGUCAGUUAUGGGCUUAGUCAUGGGCUGUUAGGUCCAACACAGAGGUAGGUGGACAGAGAAGGACCAUUUAGGGGCUAAAGAGAGCCCAAACGGACUGUAACUAGGCAUUGGACCAGCAACACCCCAGCCUCUUCCCAUCUCAAGUUCUUGCCAGGAGUUCUCGUCCACACUGCUUUUCCUUCCACAGGACCUCAGUUUGAUUCUCAGAGCCUAGAUUGAGUGGCUUCCAACCAACAGAACCUAGAAGAGGUAUAGCUUCUUUAAUCCCAGCUCCAGAGGCAGGCAGAUUUCUGUGAGUUCAAGGCCAACCUGGUCUAUCUAAAUCAAGAGUUCCAGGACAGCCGGACCUGUGAGACUUGCCUCAUAACCAAAAAAGACAAAAACUACCUAAAAUGGCUUCUUAAACUGGUUUACAGUUUGCUUGAAAGUGCAUGUAGAGAGACACACACGGGCUGGUGAGAUGGCUCAACAGGUAAGAGCACCCGACUGCUCUUCUGAAGGUCCUGAGUUCAAAUCCCGGCAACCACAUGGUGGCUCACAACCAUCCGUAACGAGAUCUGAGAUCUGACUCCCUCUUCUGGUGUGUCUGAUGACAGCUACAGUGUACUUACAUAUAAUAAUAAAUAAAUAAAUCUUAAAAAAAAAAAAAAAAGAAAACUGAGAGACACACACACACACACACACACACACACACACAACACACACACACACACUACACACACACGGCAAUAGUAAACACAUUCUGAGCAAAGAAUAAUUCAAAAUGAAACUUUUAAAAAUCAAAUGUGAUGAAUUUGAGGCGUUUUUGGCCGUGACCGAUUGGUUGUGUGGUAUCAUAGGACCUCAGUACAGUCUUGAUUCUGGGUUCACGUCGCUCAUUGGCACAGACACUGAUGAACACGGAAGCACCUUAGCUCAGACUUGACACUUCUUGUGAAUUUGACUGCUUUUUCUGUACAAAGGCUUCUGAUCUUACAAAAGCAUAAUGGCUUAGUUACAGAAAAACAAAAACUCCAUGUUUUCCUUCCACCUCUCCUCCUUGGGUAAGUAUCAGAUAGGUGAAAUUUUGAUAAUAUUGUGUCAGAAUGCUUGAUUGUUUGUUUUACAUUUGUUUCUUUCUCUCCAUGUGUGUAUGUGUGUGUGUAUGUGUGUGUGUGUGUGUGUGUGUGUGUGUGUGUGUGUGUGUGUGUAGGUCAGAGGGCAACUUGUAGGAAUUGAUUCUGGGGUUCAAACUCGGGUCAUCAGGCUUGGUGACACUGAUCUUCGCUCACUGAGCCACCUCAACAGUCCAAGAAUGUUUGAUUAUAAUAAUUAAUUAAUGAUUAUAAUAAUUGCUGUUUCACUGGCUGACUUGGGUCUUAUUUAAAAAGUCAUUAAGUAUUUUGGUUUGGGAAAUUCUAUGACAGAAUUUCCAACAGUUUCUGAAAUGGCUGUAAAUAUAUCUCUGCCAUUUUGUGCUGUGUCUUUAUGUAAAACAGCCUUCUUGCCAUCAGUCCCUUUAUGAGUGAGUGUGUGGGUGUCUGAAUUUCUGUAUGUGCACCUGUGUGUGCAGGAGCCUGAGGCGGCCAGAAGAGGGCACCAGAGCUCCCGGAACUGGAGUUAUAAUUGUGAGUGACUGUGUGGGUGCUGGGAACUGAAUCCAUGCAAGCCCACAGCAUUGAUAAUCGUAAAAUCAAAGCAUAUCUGUCAACUCUGAAAAAUGCUGGAGGUGUUCAAGAUCCUGCCAUAUCAAAUAGUCAACCAAGACUUAUUUUAAUAUGUAAAAAUAUUAUUUGAUUUGUAUGGACAUUUUUUUAUCUCUAAUAACUGGUAAAAUUGUGUGAAUAUCAAAACUUGUUUUAAAAUAAAUCUUUUUU
rnacentral:lncRNA from 1 species